AAAAAGUUUAGCCGAACAAGUUCCUUUCCUCCUAGGGGCCUGGUUAGGAAUGGCUACAAACAAGUCUCUGGGCAUAGGGUAUGUAGCCAGAUGCUUGCACUGGUGUCCAUGAGGCAGAUCCAUGGAGACAGUU